GCACCAUUCAUUCGCGGAGCAACUCGCCAAGAUCCAUCCGUAGAAUGACACUUUUUUUUCCUGAUUUUAUCUCUACUUUCCUGGCUACCUAUAAUAACCCCUCAAAAAAACCAAUUAACCCGAGUUCAAAAAAAAAAAAAAUCUUCGAUUAACUACGGUGCUAAGUACUAGCAAGCAAGUUUCGAUUCAGGGGGUUGUACACCUGUGACGCCGUUCUUUUGCUUCCAAUGAUGCAAGUAGCUUUCUUUCUUUCUUUCUCUCUCUCUCAUCAGUCAUCGCACAAACAAGCGCUGACACGCGCACACAGCUACACGCACAAAGGACGCAAAAGGGGACGCAGGAGAUGGGGGCAAUGGUGGAGGAGGAAUAUCAUCAUGGAAGUGGGGGAGUUUGUGUUUGUCUUUCUUUACCGAUGCGAUGGGUCCUCCUCCUGCUCUCUUGCCACAGCCAUAGUCCACACAUCUUUUUCUUCAUCACUCGCCUUUUCCUGCUCCUAGAUAGCCUCUCUCCAUUUCACUUCACUUCUUUCCGUGGAGGCAUAAAGAGGGGGCAGUGACAUAGCCAUGGCUAGCAUCCUUUUCAGAACAGCUGCCUGGGUACUGUUCUCAGAUCCCUUCUUGUAUUCUUUCAUAUCUUGUUUCUUCAGAAUAGGAGGGGAGGGUGUAUGGAGUCCUCGGAGCCCACCACCGCCUCUCGCUUUGGGACGACCAUAGGCCAGAAUUGGAAAAGUAACUAGUUUUCAGAUGGUGACAGCCUCAAUUGUUAAAUUAACAAUUGUACUAGCAUCUUACAAUUGAAAUGUAUGCCAUAGGCGUCACGGCGUGUAACGGCUAACGGCGCGCUAAACAGACCCUCUCCGGUGGUUUGGAUCGAGUUGUGAAUGUAUGUCGGAGUUGCACCCUUGGAUCUUCUGGUCGUAUUGGGUGAGGUGGAGUAGUUGGUCCAUGGAGAAAUGUUCUAAUCAAGGCAUCCACAUCACUCAACAUGUUAAAAGAUUACUCAUUAUCUAAACAAGAUCACUACUACUCCGUACUUGCCUUUGUCAAUUAGCUUGACCAUUGCCUUCGCCUUGCCACAUCAUAGAGCCCACCACCACCCCGAUUUAGGGCGACCAGAGGCCACAAUUGUAAAAGGGACUAGUAGUAUUAAGAUGUGCUCAGCUGCGAUUGUUAAAUUGCAGCAUCCUAGAUAAUGGAAUUUAUGAGGGAGCUCAUCAGAGGCAUGUACCGGUGUGCGAAACAGACCUGUUGUUGUGGUUUGGCUCGAGUUUUGAAGUACAUGUGGGAGAUCAGACCUUUCCCCCUUUGAUUUUCUGGUCAUAUAGGCGAGGUGUAGAGGUUAGUCCGCGGAGAAUUGUUGAAAUUAAUUAAUCUACAUCAUUCCAAAUGUUAAACCGCAGCAUCUUACUAAUGUUCACAACUUCACAGGUGUGUGUAAUCUUCUUUCUUUUUCGAAUGCCUCCCACGGUGCUAAGCGGAUACAGGAUGAGGGGUAGUUUUGGGUUUUGAAACAUUUUAUGGAGGUCAGGCCUUUGAUCCUCUGGUCUUAGUGGGUGUGGUGUCUUGGUUAGACAGCGAUGAAUUAUUCCAAUUAAGGGACAUACAUCACUCCAAAUGUUAAAUAUUACUACUUGCCUGUGUAAAUUAGCUUGACCAUGGGCUUCGCCUUGCCACAUGAGCUGCCCAGGACUGCCUUGCUGUAUGACGCUCGAAGGACCGCAAUGGGAAGGGAACAAGUAUUAGAUCAUGGCCAAUUGCAACUUGUUAAAUUGCAACGGUUCUUAGUAGACACAUGGACACGGUUAGUUCUGGGUUUUUGAAAUGUUUUCUGGAAGGUCAGCUCUUUAAGCUUCUGUUCGUGCAAGGCUAGUGUCUUAGUUAGUCAGCGAUGAAUAAUUCAAAUUAAGACACCUACAUCACUCAAAAUAUUAAAGAUUACUUGCCUUCAUAUAUUAGCUUGACCAGGGGCUUCACCUUGUCACAUUACUAGCUAUUCCGUGAACAAAUCUGAAAAGUCUAAAACUGCGGCUUGACUGAAGUUCGGUUUGUUGUUUUUGGCGAAAUUCUGAAACCAUGCCAUUUGGCGAAGAUUUUUAGACCGCGGUUGAAAAUACUACUCAAUAUAUUUCAUCAGGUAUAAAGCAAUCCAUGACUUGUUCGUACAAAACUAUCUAUGCAAAAUUAAAUGGUUGGGACCUUUGAAAAAAUGGUCUAUAUCUUCAUUUUAAAAAAUAAAGUCACUGACAUCACUAAAAAUAUUAAAAAUUACUACUUGUGUUUGUAAAUUAGCUUGACCAUGGGCUUCGCCUUGCAUCAGCAGCCUGCCACUGUCCCGAUUAGGCCAGAACUUGUAAAGAAAUAUAUGGUAUUUUAAAUAAUUCCUAUUUGCAGGGGUUGACAUUGGAGCAUCGUAAUUAUGUUUGCCGCUUCGUUGGCGUGUAAUGGUGUGCUGAACAUUUGCAUGGCCGCGGUUAGCAUGGAGAUUUAAAAUGCAUGCGGGAAGUCAGCCCCUUGAUCUUCUGGUUGUGCGUAGUUAGGUUUAUUGGUUAGUCAGAGAUGAAUUAUUCAAGUUAAGGCACUUACAUCACUCCAAAAUGUAAAACAUUACUACUUUUUUUCAAAAUGGGGAUGCCCCGGACUCUGCAUCAAUAGAUGCACACAGCCGUUUAUUUAAAAAGUACAAAAAUAUUUAGAGUUUACAAAUCAUGGAUCCAAUAGGGUCGAUGAAAAAAUCAAACAUCAAAAAAGCCAAGUAAUGCUAUGCCUACUACUUAGCUUUGUAAAUUAGCUUGACCGUGGGCAUUGCAUUGCCAUAUGACAUGAGAGCACACCAGCAUCUUGCUUUAGGGCAGUCAUACGUCAUCAUUGGAAAGUAAUUAGUAUCAGAUCAUGCCCAUUUGUAAUUGUUCAAUUGCAGCAUCCCUAGUUAUUUUAAGGCACCAGCGGCUUGUAACUGUUCCAAGCAGGCACAUGGACAGGGUGGGUUUUGGGUUUUGAAAUGUUUUUUUGGAGGAAAUCUUUGAUCUUCUGGUCUUACAGGAUGAGGUUGGUUACUCAGCAAUGAAUUAUUCAAAUUAAGGGACCUACAUCAGUCAAAAAUCAAAAUGCUAGAG